UACGUAGGGUGCGAGCGUUAAUCGGAAUUACUGGGCGUAAAGUGUGCGCAGGCGGCAGAGCAAGUCGAGUGUGAAAGCCCCGGGCUUAACUUGGGAAUUGCGCUCGAAACUACUUUGCUGGAGUGUGGCAGAGGAAGGUGGAAUUCCCGGUGUAGCGGUGAAAUGCGCAGAUAUCGGGAGGAACACCUAUGGCGAAGGCAGCUCGCUGGGACGUUACUGACGCUGAGACGCGAAAGCGUGGGGAGCAAACAGG
rnacentral:rRNA from 1 species